rnacentral:misc_RNA from 1 species
CCAAUAGCGUAUAUUAGUGUUGUUGCGGUUAAAAAGCUCGUAGUUGAAUUUCGGGAUUGGGAUAUAUCGGUCGUGCCUUUAGGGGCAUGAAUCGGUGUGUGGCCAAUUCUCACCUUCUGGUGAAUUGGGAUGCUCUCGGGUGUUUCAAUGAACUAGGACUUUUACUUUGAAAAAAUUAGAGUGUUUAAAGCGGGCAUUUUUGCUUGAAUACGUUAGCAUGGAAUAAUAAAAUAGGACGAUGGUUCUAUUUUGUUGGUUUUAGGACCACGUAAUGAUUAAUAGGGAUAGUUGGGGGCAUUAGUAUUCAAUUGUCAGAGGUGAAAUUCUUGGAUUUAUUGAGGACUAACUACUGCGAAAGCAUUUGCCAAGGAUGUUUUCAUUAAUCAAGAACGAAAGUUAGGGGAUCAAAGACGAUUUAUGUACGUCGUAGUCUUAACCAUAAACUAUGCCGACUAGGAAUCAGACAAAGUUAAUUUUUUAACGACUUGUUUGGUACCUUACGGGAAACUAAAAGUGUUUGGGUUC